rnacentral:rRNA from 1 species
AUGGCAACUGAUAGCUUUGGGUGUGGGAAAAGAGACGGGCGUGUGGACGAACUGAUAAACGCCCACAUACCAAUCCCUCUGCGUGCGUUGAAAACUGACGUGUGGGCGGAUAGAGCUGCGGUUAGAAAUUUCAGAGGUGGCGAAACAAUGCUUCCCAGCUUCGCGUAUUUUGAGAAGCUGGUGGAUCACCGAGCGCAAGAAUUCCUUCACUGCCACAACUCCCCAAAAGACCGUACCGUGCAAUCUCGAGUCUUCACUUCAGACUAUAUCCACGUAAUAACCAGUUCCCUGGACUGUGGUCCACGGUAA